CUGGGAACUGCAUUCGAUACUGUUUGACUAGAGUAUGGGAGAGGGAGGUGGAAUUUCCGGUGUAGCGGUGAAAUGCGUAGAUAUUUCAAGGAACACCAAUGGCGAAGGCGGCUUACUGGACCAAUACUGACGCUGAGGGACGAAAGCGUGGGGAGCGAACAGGAUUAGAUACCCUGGUAGUCCACGCCGUAAACGAUGAGAACUAGAUGUUGGGAGGGUUGUCCACUCAGUGGCGCACCUAACGCAUUAAGUUCGCCGCCUGGGGAGUACGGCCGGAAGGUUAAAAGUCAAAAGAAUUGACGG
rnacentral:rRNA from 1 species